GACACGCUGGCGGCGUGCCUAACACAUGCAAGUCGAGCGGGGUUGAAGCGAGAGGUAACUCGAACUUCUACCUAGCGCGGGGGACGGGUGAGUAACGCGUGGGCAACCUGCCUCAAGGUUUGGGAUAACAGCCCGAAAGGGCUGCUAAUACCGGAUAUGCCUAUGGCCUCGCAUGGGGCUAUGAGCAAAGGGGAAACCCGCCUUGAGAUGGGCCCGCGUCCCAUCAGCUAGUUGGUGAGGUAACAGCUCACCAAGGCGACGACGGGUAGCCGGCCUGAGAGGGUGACCGGCCACACUGGGACUGAGACACGGCCCAGACUCCUACGGGGGGCAGCAGUGGGGGAUCUUGCACAAUGGGCGAAAGCCUGAUGCAGCGACGCCGCGUGAGCGAAGAAGGCCUUCGGGUUGUAAAGCUCUGUCUGGAGGGACGAACAAAAUGACGGUACCUCCGGAGGAAGCCACGGCUAACUACGUG
rnacentral:rRNA from 1 species